rnacentral:lncRNA from 1 species
GUUGUCCUUAGCAACCAUGUUGUGAUGAAUCACUAAAGAAACUUCGUAUGUACCUCUUAUGCCCCCCAAAUAAUUUUAGAGUACGGAACAAUUUUAUAGUUCGUAUGGGCCUUUCUGAAAUUAAACUGACAAGAGGAAAGCAUGAACUGACAUAAGAAAUAUGAACAGGAGAAUUUAACACAGCAUCAGACCUCUCCUGAAGAAAUAGGGUAACAAAGCCCCAGGGUUUGAUAUGACGUCGAGCAAAGAUAGAAUACUAUGUUUACAGAGUCAAUACAUCAUGUAUGCCAAUGAGCAGAAGUGAAGCAUGCUUCUUCCACACAUUGUUUGACAUGAAAAUGACAGUUCUGUAGCCAUGGCAAUAAUAAUCACUGGAACUGCUCAAGAAUAUCAGCCAAUCAGUAACAGCUCUCGCUUCUCAACAUCACCCACCAGAGAAUGGACUUUUGCAAGAAACAUGUUCUGAAUAUCAAGUUCUCAAUGAUGAUGAAUAGAAUCAGCACUCCAUGGCUCUUUCAGAAAAUACCCACUUAACUCUCAAGAAUAGCCCUAUAAAAGGACGCUUAUCAAACUCUCUAGAAUAAAAUCAGUUCUAAAUAUGAAGAG